UCCAAAGGCAAUCCAGCGGUGAAAAGUUAGGAGUCCAAAACGUUCAGAUUUGGACUUGCAAAGACCUGUGAACUUAUAGCAUUUCCCCAGUUAAAAGAAAAAUAAGGGCAGAAGAAGUAAGAAAGAAAAGAAAAAGCCACCUCCACAGGCAUAGCAAUGAUCACGUGACCUGGCGCCCCAGGUUUCCAAGCAGCUGAUCUGCAUGUACACAGGUACAGAGUUCCUGGGCACAGAGGACGCAAACAGGCUUGCACUUCAUUAAACGUGUGGGUCCCAGGAGACAGAUUGUUCAUGGUGAAGGGAGCAAGCUGCCAUGCCAUAAGGCAGUCUUGUGGAGAGGCCCUCACAUCUGUGAAUGGCAGUGGAUCUUCUGAGGCCUGCCAACAGCCACGUGAAUGAGCCUGGAAGUGCAUCCUGUCUCUUCCUUCACCCAAACUGAGCCUUCAGAUGAGAUCACAGCCUUGGCUGACACCUUGACUGCAUUCUCAUGAGAGACCUUGAGCCAGAACCACUCAGGAGAUUUCCCUGGUAGUGCAGUGGCUAAGAAUCUGCCUGCCAAUGCAGGGAACGUGGGUUCGAUCCCUGGUCCGGGAAGAUCUCACAUGCCGCGGAGCAACUAAGCCCCUGUGUCACAGCUACUGAGACCACGCGCCACAACUACUGAAGCCCACGCGCCCUAGAGCCCGUGCACCACAACUACUGAGCCCACGUGCCGCAGCUACUGAAGCCUAUGCACUCUAGGGCCCGUGUGCUGCAACUACUGAAGCCUGAGCGCCUAGAGCCUGUGCUCCGCAACAAGAGAAGCCACCGCAAUGAGAAGCCCGCGCACCGCAACCAAGAGUAGCUCCGGCCUGCUGCAACUGGAGAAAGCCCGCAAGCAGCAACAAAGACCCAAC